UUGGGAAUUUUGGUCAUUUGGGAAGACCCCUGAACAUAUGUGAACGCUUUAGCAGCACGGAUGCUGUGUGGAUUUUUCCUUAUGCAAAUAAGCAGACGCUGUGAGGGACUUAACGCGGCCCAUUAUGAGAUGCAACAAACUAGUCUGUGGAAAAAGGGAAUGUUCCCUUUCCACAUAACAUCAUAUAUCAGCUUGGGACAAAAGGGACGAGAGAAAAAGUGCAAUCAGUGGACAUGGGCGCGUAAGCCUGAAUAGGACUGAAGGACUGUAGUUUGAGCUCAGAUUAUUAAAGCCUUCUUAUGAUGUCAUUUUAACUAAGAUUUUAUAUAUUUGUUGCAAUGAUGUCAUCUCGAUCAGCUGACGACAUCAUCAGGAUGGUUUUAUUCUGGGAAUUGGAGGUUCUAUUUUUCUUGUGGACGUUACUUCUGUUCGCAUUGACAAUCGAUAUUCACGUGUAUCGAGGUGUCAGCUGCUUCUGUUUGUUCGGAAUCUUGAGUUACAAGAGAACGUGUAAGGAGGCUAAGAUGUGUGUUAUAAAACAUGCGCCCUUUUCAAAGAUUCACUAUAAUCACUUUGCAUUUGAACAACAUAUAUUGCAAGGGGACACACCAACCAAGAAGAGGAAAAGCACACCAAAUGAAUGCUAAACGUGUCUUUGCAGCCACAAGUGCAGUUUCUGUUGAAGCCACAAACAGGAAACCACUUUUUUCAGCUUUGUUUGCUCUUGAUAUUGAUUGUACCUUUUUUACCAAACACAGACACAUCGAUAAAACACAGUCGCCUUUUGGGAUUCUAUGGGUAAUCAUGACACUUUCUUUUCUGAAAGAAAAAAAACAAAACAACUGUAAAGAUAAUCAACUGCAAAAACGACACAAGUUUAGCGAGUCUUGGGAAAGCAGUCUUCGUUUUCUUCCGCGCUAGUUAAUUCUACUAUGCUGUUUUUACUGUGCUUAGUUUAGUGCUGGUCUGUGGGUUAAAUGAAAACUGUUAGUAUAGCGUUAUGUUGCUUAAUUAAACUUACAUGUGUGAAUAAACACCUUCUUUUAUCUGUCAUUUAGAAACCGACAUUAGAUGCCCUGCAAGAGAACAUGUAAAUAAGCUUUGCCUAUGCUAAUAGCUGUCUAAAACCAGUCAUUCACUGUGUGGAUCUGUGUCAAAUGAAUCCGUUGGGAAUUUGCAAACUCGCAGGAUUGUACUGGGUGAAAAAAAACAUAAAGGUGUAAGAUUUGACAGGCUCUCCUGAAGACAACGCAAAAAAAAUGUUUUAUCACACAAAUCUAUCUAAAUGAUGAGGAUUUGCUUAGUCAGAUGUACAAAGACCCUUAUCUGGAUGCUUUAUGAAUCUGAAAUGGGCAAAUGUUUUAUUUUUAGUCUUUUUAAUUGAUGUCAAUUGUGGAUUUUGAGUCAGCGGUCAACAUUCAUUCCACGUUAUAAAUCCAGAUGGAUCCCAGCCGCAACUGUAUGUGUCCAGCCUUCAUGCUUAUGUGAAUUUUAGCCUGUUGUAAUUCAAAUGAAUGCAUUUGAAUGGGUUUUUUAAUCAUUUGACGUCAGACUCUUUAUGUGCUGAUAGCACCGUGGAUCUGGUCACUAACUGAUAAUGGAGUUGAAAGAAAGAUUUUUUUAUGAGUCUGUGUGUGCGUGGAUGCAUGCAUAUGCUGGUCUGGAAUAGUCUGGCUUUUACAACUCUGACUCGCCACUGAACUGUUUGCUCAUUUUCAUAUUUCACAGCAGCCUUUUGUUGCAUGGAAACACUUCCUGUUGUUGUGGUAACGGUGACUUUUUUUGUUGUGGUUGGUUGUUUGCUAUUUUCUAAACCAAAGGCUUUUUUUUCUUCUUUGCUUCUAUAGAUGUUGCUUCUUUCUUUUUUUUAAAUACAUGUUUUUGAUUAUUUUAAUAAUUAUUUUUAUGUUGUUGUUCUUUGGGGAAAACAUAUAAAUGUUUACACCUGUAUCAAAUUAUAUGUUACAUAUAUAAAUACAUAUAUCAUUC
ensembl:lncRNA